GCAGCUUUGGCUUUCGUGUGGUAUACGAUGUACGUGAAACUUGUUUCGUGUGUACGUUAUCACUGCGUUAUGUCUGAAAUUGUCGGCGUGCACUUCUCCCCUAGUAGGACGUCGCGACCCGUUGGGUGCUGGUCUACGGCCCGGUAGGUCGUCUGACGCGUUUACAAUCAACCGUUUACGUGUCAGACCUCUGGAUGCCCGACCGGCUGCCCGGCGGUAUAGAACGAUAAUUAACGGUAUUGAGCCGCAUUAAGUGCGUUCAGGCUUGUCGGCAGGCUCGCCUCGCUCGGAUUUACGGACCUAGCGCCGUUGCCGGGUGCUUGGUGUGGCUGUGGCCGAUGAUGUCCUCGGACUGGCUCUUUAUAUUCGAACGGAUAUACCGGUCGGCGACGCUACUGCUUUGGGUACUUUCAGGACCCGUCUUGAAACACGGACCAAGGAGUCUAACAUGUGCGCGAGUCAUUGGGUUAAUUAAAACCUAAAGGCGCAAUGAAAGUGAAGGUCGUCCUUUGCGUCGACCGAGGGAGGAUGGCUCGCGUCACGAUGCGAGCCCGCACUCCCGGGG
rnacentral:rRNA from 1 species